rnacentral:rRNA from 1 species
CGGUGCGCCUUAUGCAUGCAAGUCGAGCGAAGCUUUUCAGUAGUUUACUACAGAAAAUGACUGAGCGGCGAACGGGUGAGUAACGCGUGAGCAAUCUACCUUAGUUACAGGGAUAGCCCGAGGAAACUCGGAUUAAUACCUGAUAUUCUUUAUAUUUCGCAUGAAAUUAAAAGGAAAGGUCAGCCGAACUAAGAUGAGCUCGCGUUCUAUCAGCUAGUUGGUGAGGUAAAAGCUUACCAAGGCUACGACGGAUAGCUGGUCUGAGAGGACGAUCAGCCACACUGGGACUGAGACACGGCCCAGACUCCUACGGGAGGCUGCAGCAGGGAAUAUUGCGCAAUGAGCGAAAGCUUGACGCAGCGACACCGCGUGUGGGAUGACGGAUCUAGGUUUGUAAACCACUUUCAGGAGGGAAGAAAAUGACGGUACCUCCACAAGAAGCCCCGGCCAA